CUUUCCUGGAUGCUGCUGAAAUAUUUCAGUUCUGCCAGAGAUCUAUGGACCACAGUCUGCUACUGCCCUUCAGUCUGUUGAAUGGAUGAAGGUCAGGGCCAUGGAGGCAGCAAACGGAUACCCAGAGCCAAUUGCGUGGGUGAAGCUAGGUUUUGUUGCUGGGUUUCAAGCUGUCCAAGAGUCAAGAUCUGAGGAACAGGAAGGCAGACACGUUGUUGACCAU
rnacentral:lncRNA from 1 species